CAGUCAGUGGAUCCUCCUGCAGACUCAACACAACAACGUCUACAACUCAGAGGCUGCUGAUCAGCACAGACGUGAUGAAGGUUCUUCUGGUCCUCGUCGUCAUGUUCGCUCUCCUCCAUCUGGGGCAAAAUACACCUUGUUCGGUGAAAAGUGACAACAAUGCGUACGACGAUUUUGUGAAGAAACACAUCGUUCGGAAGCAAUUUGACAGAAAAUCGAGGGUUCAAUGGAAGAGGUACAUAGAAGACGAAGGCCUCUGCGACAGAGAGGAGCAGUCCUUCCUCGAGCCGGAGAACAAAGAAGACGUCAAGGCGAUCUGUGGCGUCGACGGCCGCCAGCUGGUGUACAGAACCAAAAAACAGCAACGCAACUUAUGCAUCAGUACUUUUAAGAUGAAGAUUUAUCAUUUGAAAGUCAAACACAAGUGCGAAGUUGCAGUUUUGUUGCGUGAAACAAAGCCGGUGAUUGUGGGUUGUAAUAAAGUUAACAACAAGUGCCUUCCUGUACACUUUGAGGCGUAUGACAAACAAGAAGCAAGUCGCACCUCCUGCAGUGGAGGCUUGAUUCCUGUAGUUGUUUAACUUUGGGUCCCAGUUGUCGGCCCGUUGUUGAGCUGGCAGCUAAAACCUCUUUCAGGCUUCUGCUUUUAUACUCUGUGUGAAAUGUUUGAUUGUAACACUUCCUGGUUCCAAAAAUAAACAUGUGAACUUUCAGCAUCAUGAUAAUAAUAUUUCACCUUCUCAUCG